rnacentral:rRNA from 1 species
GCCUAGCCGUAACACGCAAUUAAAUUACCCAUUGCCCGCCAAACAACUACGAAAUUACACUUAAAACUUAAAAGACUUGACGGUACUUCACCUCACCCUAGAGGAGCCUGUCUAAUAACCGACAACCCACGAUUAACCCAACCCCCUCUUGCCUACAGUCUAUAUACCGCCGUCGUCAGCCUACCUUGUAAAAGAAAUAAAGUAGGCCAAACAGCACUUACACUAAAACGACAGGUCGAGGUGUAACUUAUGAGGGGGACCAAGAUGGGCUACACUCUCAUACCCGAGAAUACGGAAAACACUACGAAACUAGCCUUUAAAGGUGGAUUUAGCAGUAAGAUAGGAAUAAAAUACCUAACUGAACACAACGCAAUGAAGUGCGUACACACCGCCCGUCAUCCCUGCUAUCAC